UGUUCUGUGGCGGAGUUGGUUAACGCGCCCUGUCUAGCGCACCUCCCCAAGUGGGUUCAAAUCCCACCAGAACUA
rnacentral:tRNA from 1 species